rnacentral:rRNA from 1 species
UACGAAGGGGCUAGCGUUGCUCGGAAUCACUGGGCGUAAAGGGUGCGUAGGCGGGUCUUUAAGUCAGGGGUGAAAUCCUGGAGCUCAACUCCAGAACUGCCUUUGAUACUGAAGAUCUUGAGUUCGGGAGAGGUGAGUGGAACUGCGAGUGUAGAGGUGAAAUUCGUAGAUAUUCGCAAGAACACCAGUGGCGAAGGCGGCUCACUGGCCCGAUACUGACGCUGAGACGAACGCGAACGGUGGGCAAACAGG